rnacentral:rRNA from 1 species
AGCGAACGCUGGCGGCAGGCUUAACACAUGCAAGUCGAGCGGGCGUAGCAAUACGUCAGCGGCAGACGGGUGAGUAACACGUGGGAACGUACCUUUUGGUUCGGAACAACACAGGGAAACUUGGGCUAAUACCGGAUACGUCCGUAAGGAGAAAGAUUUAUCGCUGAAGGAUCGGCCCGCGUCUGAUUAGCUAGUUGGUGAGGUAACGGCUCACCAAGGCGACGAUCAGUAGCUGGUCUGAGAGGAUGAUCAGCCUCACUGGGACUGAGACACGGCCCAGACUCCUACGGGAGGCAGCAGUGGGGAAUAUUGGACAAUGGGCGCAAGCCUGAUCCAGCCAUGCCGCGUGGGUGAUGAAGGCCCUAGGGUUGUAAAGCCCUUUCGGCGGGGAAGAUAAUGACGGUACCCGCAGAAGAAGCCCCGGCUAACUUCGUGCCAGCAGCCGCCGUAAUAC